rnacentral:rRNA from 1 species
CUAGAAGAUGACGAGUGGCGGACGGGUGAGUAAUACUUAGGAAUAUGCCUUUGCGUGGGGGAUAACUAUUGGAAACGAUAGCUAAUACCGCAUAAUGUCUUCGGACCAAAGGGGGCUUCGGCUCCCGCGCAAAGAGUAGCCUAAGCGAGAUUAGCUUGUUGGUGGGGUAAAGGCUCACCAAGGCGACGAUCUCUAGCUGUUCUGAGAGGAAGAUCAGCCACACUGGAACUGAGACACGGUCCAGACUCCUACGGGAGGCAGCAGUGGGGAAUAUUGCACAAUGGGCGCAAGCCUGAUGCAGCCAUGCCGCGUGUGUGAAGAAGGCCUUCGGGUUGUAAAGCACUUUCAGUUGUGAGGAAAGGUUAACGGUUAAUACCCGUUAGCUGUGACGUUAGCAACAGAAGAAGGACCGGCUAACUCCGUGCCAGCAGCCGCGGUAAUACGGAGGGUCCGAGCGUUAAUCGGAAUUACUGGGCGUAAAGCGCACGCAGGCGGUUUGUUAAGCUAGAUGUGAAAGCCCUGGGCUCAACCUGGGAAUUGCAUUUAGAACUGGCAGGCUA